rnacentral:rRNA from 1 species
UUAAAUGGCCGCAGUAUCUUGACUGUGCAAAGGUAGCAUAAUCAUUAGUUUCUUAAUUAGAAACUGGAAUGAAUGGUUGGACGAGAAAAUAACUGUCUCUUUAUAAAUUUUUUAGAAUUUUAUUUUUAAGUUAAAAAGCUUAAAUUUUUUUAAAAGACGAGAAGACCCUAUAGAGUUUUAUAUAUGAUAAUAUAAGAAUUAUUUUUAGUAUAUAAAUUAUAUUUAUAUUCUUAUAUUAAUUAUAUUUAAUUGGGGUGAUUAAAAAAUUUAGAUAACUUUUUUUUUAUAAAAACAUUAAUUUAUGAAAAAUUGAUCCAUGUUUAUGUUCAUGAUUAUAAGAUUAAAUUACCUUAGGGAUAACAGCGUAAUUUUUUUUAAGAGUUCUAAUCGAUAAAAAAGUUUGCGACCUCGAUGUUGGAUUAAAAUUUAAUUUUGGUGUAGAAGCUAAAAAUAUUAGGUCUGUUCGACCUUUAAAAUUUUACAUGAUCUGAGUUUAAACCGGUGUGAGCCAGGUUGGUUUCUAUCUUUAAAAAAUAUUAAUAUUUUAGUACGAAAGGACCAAAUAUUAGUAAAAUUUAUUUUAAUUUGAUUAUUAUUAAGGU